rnacentral:rRNA from 1 species
GGUUAAGCGACUAAGCGUACACGGUGGAUGCCCUGGCAGUCAGAGGCGAUGAAGGACGUGCUAAUCUGCGAUAAGCGUCGGUAAGGUGAUAUGAACCGUUAUAACCGGCGAUUUCCGAAUGGGGAAACCCAGUGUGAUUCGUCACACUAUCAUUAACUGAAUCCAUAGGUUAAUGAGGCGAACCGGGGGAACUGAAACAUCUAAGUACCCCGAGGAAAAGAAAUCAACCGAGAUUCCCCCAGUAGCGGCGAGCGAACGGGGAGCAGCCCAGAGCCUGAAUCAGUGUGUGUGUUAGUGGAAGCGUCUGGAAAGGCGUGCGAUACAGGGUGACAGCCCCGUACACAAAAAUGCACAUGCUGUGAGCUCGAUGAGUAGGGCGGGACACGUGGUAUCCUGUCUGAAUAUGGGGGGACCAUCCUCCAAGGCUAAAUACUCCUGACUGACCGAUAGUGAACCAGUACCGUGAGGGAAAGGCGAAAAGAACCCCGGCGAGGGGAGUGAAAAAGAACCUGAAACCGUGUACGUACAAGCAGUGGGAGCACAGAGCAAUCUGUGUGACUGCGUACCUUUUGUAUAAUGGGUCAGCGACUUAUAUUCUGUAGCAAGGUUAACCGAAUAGGGGAGCCGAAGGGAAACCGAGUCUUAACUGGGCGUUAAGUUGCAGGGUAUAGACCCGAAACCCGGUGAUCUAGCCAUGGGCAGGUUGAAGGUUGGGUAACACUAACUGGAGGACCGAACCGACUAAUGUUGAAAAAUUAGCGGAUGACUUGUGGCUGGGGGUGAAAGGCCAAUCAAACCGGGAGAUAGCUGGUUCUCCCCGAAAGCUAUUUAGGUAGCGCCUCGUGAAUUCAUCUCCGGGGGUAGAGCACUGUUUCGGCAAGGGGGUCAUCCCGACUUACCAACCCGAUGCAAACUGCGAAUACCGGAGAAUGUUAUCACGGGAGACACACGGCGGGUGCUAACGUCCGUCGUGAAGAGGGAAACAACCCAGACCGCCAGCUAAGGUCCCAAAGUCAUGGUUAAGUGGGAAACGAUGUGGGAAGGCCCAGACAGCCAGGAUGUUGGCUUAGAAGCAGCCAUCAUUUAAAGAAAGCGUAAUAGCUCACUGGUCGAGUCGGCCUGCGCGGAAGAUGUAACGGGGCUAAACCAUGCACCGAAGCUGCGGCAGCGACACUAUGUGUUGUUGGGUAGGGGAGCGUUCUGUAAGCCUGCGAAGGUGUGCUGUGAGGCAUGCUGGAGGUAUCAGAAGUGCGAAUGCUGACAUAAGUAACGAUAAAGCGGGUGAAAAGCCCGCUCGCCGGAAGACCAAGGGUUCCUGUCCAACGUUAAUCGGGGCAGGGUGAGUCGACCCCUAAGGCGAGGCCGAAAGGCGUAGUCGAUGGGAAACAGGUUAAUAUUCCUGUACUUGGUGUUACUGCGAAGGGGGGACGGAGAAGGCUAUGUUGGCCGGGCGACGGUUGUCCCGGUUUAAGCGUGUAGGCUGGUUUUCCAGGCAAAUCCGGAAAAUCAAGGCUGAGGCGUGAUGACGAGGCACUACGGUGCUGAAGCAACAAAUGCCCUGCUUCCAGGAAAAGCCUCUAAGCAUCAGGUAACAUCAAAUCGUACCCCAAACCGACACAGGUGGUCAGGUAGAGAAUACCAAGGCGCUUGAGAGAACUCGGGUGAAGGAACUAGGCAAAAUGGUGCCGUAACUUCGGGAGAAGGCACGCUGAUAUGUAGGUGAAGUCCCUCGCGGAUGGAGCUGAAAUCAGUCGAAGAUACCAGCUGGCUGCAACUGUUUAUUAAAAACACAGCACUGUGCAAACACGAAAGUGGACGUAUACGGUGUGACGCCUGCCCGGUGCCGGAAGGUUAAUUGAUGGGGUCAGCGCAAGCGAAGCUCUUGAUCGAAGCCCCGGUAAACGGCGGCCGUAACUAUAACGGUCCUAAGGUAGCGAAAUUCCUUGUCGGGUAAGUUCCGACCUGCACGAAUGGCGUAAUGAUGGCCAGGCUGUCUCCACCCGAGACUCAGUGAAAUUGAACUCGCUGUGAAGAUGCAGUGUACCCGCGGCAAGACGGAAAGACCCCGUGAACCUUUACUAUAGCUUGACACUGAACAUUGAGCCUUGAUGUGUAGGAUAGGUGGGAGGCUUUGAAGUGUGGACGCCAGUCUGCAUGGAGCCGACCUUGAAAUACCACCCUUUAAUGUUUGAUGUUCUAACGUUGACCCGUAAUCCGGGUUGCGGACAGUGUCUGGUGGGUAGUUUGACUGGGGCGGUCUCCUCCUAAAGAGUAACGGAGGAGCACGAAGGUUGGCUAAUCCUGGUCGGACAUCAGGAGGUUAGUGCAAUGGCAUAAGCCAGCUUGACUGCGAGCGUGACGGCGCGAGCAGGUGCGAAAGCAGGUCAUAGUGAUCCGGUGGUUCUGAAUGGAAGGGCCAUCGCUCAACGGAUAAAAGGUACUCCGGGGAUAACAGGCUGAUACCGCCCAAGAGUUCAUAUCGACGGCGGUGUUUGGCACCUCGAUGUCGGCUCAUCACAUCCUGGGGCUGAAGUAGGUCCCAAGGGUAUGGCUGUUCGCCAUUUAAAGUGGUACGCGAGCUGGGUUUAGAACGUCGUGAGACAGUUCGGUCCCUAUCUGCCGUGGGCGCUGGAGAACUGAGGGGGGCUGCUCCUAGUACGAGAGGACCGGAGUGGACGCAUCACUGGUGUUCGGGUUGUCAUGCCAAUGGCACUGCCCGGUAGCUAAAUGCGGAAGAGAUAAGUGCUGAAAGCAUCUAAGCACGAAACUUGCCCCGAGAUGAGUUCUCCCUGACUCCUUGAGAGUCCUGAAGGAACGUUGAAGACGACGACGUUGAUAGGCCGGGUGUGUAAGCGCAGCGAUGCGUUGAGCUAACCGGUACUAAUGAACCGUGAGGCUUAACCUU